rnacentral:lncRNA from 1 species
AUUAAAAUAGAGAGGCGUUUGGGGGGUGUAUGACAAAAUGGGUUGAGGUGUAUGAAGCAAUUAUGCACGGUGCAUAAGGAAAUCCUUAUGCACCAUAACCACUCCCCUUAACCAGUGCCUGGGGCAUCGGUUAGCAUUUCCCUUGAAAAAAUGAGUUGAACGAUAGUUGAUUAGUGUUCCUAACUAUAAUGGGUUUUGUUUUUGCGUUCUUGCACUUGACCGGUCUGGAACAACAUUUAACUUGCGUUUGAGAGGCGAACGAUAGUUAAUU